rnacentral:ncRNA from 1 species
GUUAUUGAAUAACUAAGCUUAAAAUUUUGUUUUGCACACAGUAGGGUGAAAAUACAAACCCACUAGGGUUGGGGCCGCACUUGCACAACGUGGAUGACGCAGAAUGUUCAGACUAGUCGAGCCCAAAAAGGACUUGUGGAUAUUUUAGCUAAUACGUAAUUUAUUUUUUUCAUGUAUAAACCUAGAUGGCGAUAGUCCAGUAGCCCGAAAGAAUCACUAGCUUACACUCUGACCCGAUUAGCAUGAGGCACGUGGAAUCCUGUGUGAAUUAGCAAAAGACCACCUUGCAAGGUUAAAUACUCCUUGGUGACUGAUAGGUACGUGAGGGAAGGGUGAAAAGAACCCCCGCUAGGGAGUGAAAUAGAAUAUGAAACCGUAAGCUCCAAGUAGUUGGAGGAGCCCAAGGCUCUGAUCGUGUGCUUGUUGAAGAAUAAGCCGGUGACUCAUAAGUAGUGGCUUGGUUAAGGGAAGCCACAUGAGCCGUAGCGAAAGCGAGUCUUCAUAGGGCAAUUGUCAUUGCUUAUAGACCCUAAUUUGGGUGCUUAAUCGAUGACCAGGAUGAAGCUUGGGUGAAACUAAGUGGAAGUCU